UACAGAGGGUGCGAGCGUUAAUCGGAAUUACUGGGCGUAAAGGGUGCGUAGGCGGUUAAAUAAGUUAGAUGUGAAAUCCCUGGGCUUAACCUGGGCAUGGCAUAUAAGACUGUUUGACUGGAGUAGAGUAGAGGGGAGUGGAAUUUCCGGUGUAGCGGUGAAAUGCGUAGAUAUCGGAAAGAACAUCAGUGGCGAAGGCGGCUCUCUGGACUCAUACUGACGCUGAGGCACGAAAGCAUGGGGAGCAAACAGG
rnacentral:rRNA from 1 species